rnacentral:tRNA from 1 species
GGGACCGUAGUGAAGCUUGGCUAUCAUGCCAGCCUUGGGAGCUGGUGAUCCGGGGUUCAAAUCCCCGCGGUCCCA